rnacentral:rRNA from 1 species
AUUGAACGCUGGCGGCAUGCCUUACACAUGCAAGUCGAACGGCAGCACGGGAGCAAUCCUGGUGGCGAGUGGCGAACGGGUGAGUAAUAUAUCGGAACGUGCCCAGUCGUGGGGGAUAACGUAGCGAAAGCUACGCUAAUACCGCAUACUAUCUAUGGAUGAAAGCGGGGGAUCGCAAGACCUCGCGCGAUUGGAGCGGCCGAUAUCAGAUUAGGUAGUUGGUGAGGUAAAGGCUCACCAAGCCGACGAUCUGUAGCUGGUCUGAGAGGACGACCAGCCACACUGGGACUGAGACACGGCCCAGACUCCUACGGGAGGCAGCAGUGGGGAAUUUUGGACAAUGGGCGCAAGCCCGAUCCAGCAAUGCCGCGUGCAGGAUGAAGGCCUUC